rnacentral:lncRNA from 1 species
GGAGGUUAACCACCACUGAUUAACUUCUUUUUUUUUUUCAUCAUAGCACCUGGUGAAACUAUCCAGUAAGGAAGAGCCACAAUCUGUAUAGAUGGAGGGAAUUACCACAUGGAUGAAAUCACAGUAGUGAAGUCUCGUAAUACCAAAUGUCUUCACAGCCACAAAAGAGAUUCAUGAGCCUGGAAAUCAGCUGGGAAUCUUGUGAAUGGAACCGCCCACACCCACACCUGCAGCCACAUCUGGAAAUGGCUGUGCCGUCUUGGCUAUAGGACCCAACAUAGCAGGAAGGAUUCGGUUAAGGAUUGACAAGAGACCUAGCUGCAGCAGAGGUAUGCCACAGGAGAGGUCAGAAGAUGCCAGGAUUAACAAUAGUUGCCAGGACUGACUGCUGAUUUUACUCAUCCUGCUCCAAGAUUGGACAGUCAAAGCCGGAGAUUCCCUACUGGUGAUCAGAUACCUGAGACCACAGGAAACAUCAACCUUCCUGAGUUUCAUUUCACGCUAAAUCCUGAGUUCCACAGUCUUGAGGUCCAGAGUUCCUACAGAGGUCCAACCUUUUUAAUCCAAAAUGGAAGCUCAAUUGAUCUUCCUUUGCAGGUUAGAAGGGGAGUGGCAGUAGGGACCUAGGCAAAUUCAAAUAGCAUUUCCUAAAAUCCCU